rnacentral:rRNA from 1 species
GACGAACGCUGGCGGCGUGCUUAACACAUGCAAGUCGAACGGAAAGGCCCUGCUUUUGUGGGGUGCUCGAGUGGCGAACGGGUGAGUAACACGUGAGUAACCUGCCCUUGACUUUGGGAUAACUUCAGGAAACUGGGGCUAAUACCGGAUAGGAGCUCCUGCUGCAUGGUGGGGGUUGGAAAGUUUCGGCGGUGGGGGAUGGACUCGCGGCUUAUCAGCUGGUUGGUGGGGUAGUGGCUUACCAAGGCUUUGACGGGUAGCCGGCCUGAGAGGGUGACCGGCCUCCUUGGGCCUGCGGUACGGCGCAGCCUCCUACGGGGGGCAACAGUGGGAAAUAUUGCACAGUGGGCGGGAGCCUGUUGCAGCAGCGCCGCGUGCGGGAAGACGGCUUUCGGGUUGUAAACCGCAUUCGCCUGUGACGAAGCGUGAGUGACGGUAAUGGGUAAAGAAGCACCGGCUAACUACGUG